GUGGUGGUAGUAGUAGUAGUAAUGAUCAUGGUAGUGAUAGCAGUUUAGUGAUGGUGGUGGUAGUAGUAGUAACGAUGAUUGUAGUGAUUGCAGUUUAGUGAUGGUGGUGUUAAUAGUACUAAUGAUGAUGGUAGUGAUUGCAGUUUAGUGAUGGUGGUGGUAGUAGUAGUAAUGAUCAUGGAGGUGAUAGCAGUUUAGUGAUGGUGGUGGUGGUAGUAGUAAUGAUGAUGGUAUUGUUAACAGUUUAGUGAUGGUGGUAGUAGUAGUAAUGAUGAUGGUAGUGAUAACAGUUUAGUGAUGGUGGUGGUGGUAGUAGUAAUGAUGAUGGUAUUGUUAACAGUUUAGUGAUGGUGGUAGUAGUAGUAAUGAUGAUGGUAGUGAUAACAGUUUAGUGAUGGUGGUGGUGGUAGUAGUAGUAAUGAUGAUGGUAGUUAUAGCAGUUUAGUGAUGGUGGUGGUAGUAGUAGUAAUGAUGAUGGUAGUGAUAGCAAUUUAGUGACGGAGGUGGUAGAAGUAGUAAUGAUGAUGGUAGUGAUAGUAGUUUAGUGAUGGUGGAGGUAGUAGUAGUAAUGAUGAUGGAAGUGAUAGCAGUUUAGUGAUGGCUGUGGUAGAAGUAGUAAUGAUGAUGGUAGUGAUAGCAGUUAAGUGAUGAUGUGGUAGUAGUAGUAAUGAUGAUUGUAAUGGCCGUCGUAUGAUUUGGCCAAAGGCGCAGCGGGUUGAGUGCUCAUUUUGACGUUUAUUUUAAAUAACCACAAACACUUCACAAGAAAACGGCCGACAACAUAACAGUUUGCAGGUUAACCCUAGCAGUGCAAAACAACCUCCCACAAUUCCCAAAACAAACAUACUUCUAAAUAUAGGACCUUCAAACAGAGGCAACGAUAACCAGCUGCCUCCAAUUGAAGGCCCCAAUCCCAAUUACUAAACAUAGAAAUAAACACCCAAGAAACAGACAUAGAUCUACACAACAUAGAACUAAAC
rnacentral:lncRNA from 1 species